GCCGACGUAGCUCAACGGCAGAGCGCCUGUUUUGUAAACAGGGGGUUACCGGUUCGAAUCCGGUCGUCGGCUCCA
rnacentral:tRNA from 1 species